CUGCAGUUCGUAACAAGGAUAACCCUAUCUGAACCUUCGGGGAACGAUAACGGCGUCGAGCGGCGGACGGGUGAGUAAUGCCUAGGAAAUUGCCCUGAUGUGGGGGAUAACCAUUGGAAACGAUGGCUAAUACCGCAUAAUGCCUACGGGCCAAAGAGGGGGACCUUCGGGCCUCUCGCGUCAGGAUAUGCCUAGGUGGGAUUAGCUAGUUGGUGAGGUAAUGGCUCACCAAGGCGACGAUCCCUAGCUGGUCUGAGAGGAUGAUCAGCCACACUGGAACUGAGACACGGUCCAGACUCCUACGGGAGGCAGCAGUGGGGAAUAUUGCACAAUGGGCGCAAGCCUGAUGCAGCCAUGCCGCGUGUGUGAAGAAGGCCUUCGGGUUGUAAAGCACUUUCAGUCGUGAGGAAGGUNGUGUAGUUAAUAGCUGCAUUAUUUGACGUUAGCGACAGAAGAAGCACCGGCUAACUCCGUGCCAGCAGCCGCGGUAAUACGGAGGGUGCGAGCGUUAAUCGGAAUUACUGGGCGUAAAGCGCAUGCAGGUGGUUUGUUAAGUCAGAUGUGAAAGCCCGGGGCUCAACCUCGGAAUAGCAUUUGAAACUGGCAGACUAGAGUACUGUAGAGGGGGGUAGAAUUUCAGGUGUAGCGGUGAAAUGCGUAGAGAUCUGAAGGAAUACCGGUGGC
rnacentral:rRNA from 1 species